AGAGCGAACGCUGGCGGCAGGCUUAACACAUGCAAGUCGAGCGGGCGUAGCAAUACGUCAGCGGCAGACGGGUGAGUAACGCGUGGGAACAUACCUUUUGGUUCGGAACAACACAGGGAAACUUGUGCUAAUACCGGAUAAGCCCUUACGGGGAAAGAUUUAUCGCCGAAAGAUUGGCCCGCGUCUGAUUAGCUAGUUGGUGAGGUAAUGGCUCACCAAGGCGACGAUCAGUAGCUGGUCUGAGAGGAUGAUCAGCCACAUUGGGACUGAGACACGGCCCAAACUCCUACGGGAGGCAGCAGUGGGAAUAUUGGACAAUGGGGGCAACCCUGAUCCAGCCAUGCCGCGUGAGUGAUGAAGGCCCUAGGGUUGUAAAGCUCUUUUGUGCGGGAAGAUAAUGACGGUACCGCAAGAAUAACGCCCGGCUAACUUCGUGCCAGCAGCCGC
rnacentral:rRNA from 1 species